GGUCGUAUGCGCGAGGGGUCAGGGAACCGCCUGCAAAGCGGUGCACACCGGUUCGGAUCCGGUUGCGGCCU
rnacentral:tRNA from 1 species